GGUCCGUGCGAAGUCGCAAGACGAUGUAUACGGACUGACGCCUGCCCGGUGCUGGAACGUUAAGAGGACCUGUUAGCUCUUCGGGGCGAAGCGGAGAAUUUAAGCGCCAGUAAACGGCGGUGGUAACUAUAACCAUCCUAAGGUAGCGAAAUUCCUUGUCGGGUAAGUUCCGACCUGCACGAAUGGCGUAACGACUUGGGCGCUGUCUCGACCACAGACUCGGCGAAAUUGCACUACGAGUAAAGAUGCUCGUUACGCGCGGCAGGACGGAAAGACCCCGGGACCUUUACUAUAGCUUGGUAUUGAUGCUCGGUUCGGCUUGUGUAGGAUAGGUGGGAGACUGUGAAAUCGCCACGCCAGUGGUGGUGGAGUCGUUGUUGAAAUACCACUCUGGUCGAAUUGGGUGUCUUAACCUCGGGCCAUGAUCUGGUUCAGGGACAGUGCCUGGUGGGUAGUUUAACUGGGGCGGUUGCCUCCCAAAGAGUAACGGAGGCGCCCAAAGGUUCCCUCAGCCUGGUUGGCAAUCAGGUGUUGAGUGUAAGUGCACAAGGGAGCUUGACUGUGAGACUGACGGGUCGAGCAGGGACGAAAGUCGGGACUAGUGAUCCGGCACCACCUUGUGGAAGGGGUGUCGCUCAACGGAUAAAAGGUACCCCGGGGAUAACAGGCUGAUCUUGCCCAAGAGUCCAUAUCGACGGCAUGGUUUGGCACCUCGAUGUCGGCUCGUCGCAUCCUGGGGCUGGAGUAGGUCCCAAGGGUUGGGCUGUUCGCCCAUUAAAGCGGUACGCGAGCUGGGUUCAGAACGUCGUGAGACAGUUUGGUUCCUAUCUAUUGCGGGCGUAGGAAAUUUGCGGGGAGCUGUCCCUAGUACGAGAGGACCGGGAUGGACUAACCAAUGGCGUACCAGUUGUCAUGUCAAUGGCACGGCUGGAUAGUUAUGUUAGGAAUAGAUAAGCACUGAAAGCAUAUAAGUGCGAAGCUAGCCCCAAGAUGAGAUUUCCCAUUCCGAAAGGAAAUAAAAUACCUUCCAGACUAGGAGGUUGAUAGGCAACAAAUGUAAGCAGAGUAAUCUGUUCAGUUAAGUUGUACUAAUUUAUUGAGGACUUAUUUUU
rnacentral:rRNA from 1 species